GACGAACCGUACGAACGUUAUUCGGAAUUACUGGGCUUAAAGGGUGCGUAGGCGGCGCGGAAAGUAGGGUGUGAAAUCCCUCGGCUCAACCGAGGAACUGCGCUCUAAACUACCGUGCUCGAGGGAGGUAGAGGUGAGCGGAACUGAGGGUGGAGCGGUGAAAUGCGUUGAUAUCCUCAGGAACACCGGUGGCGAAAGCGGCUCACUGGACCUCUUCUGACGCUGAGGAGCGAAAGCGUGGGGAGCGAACAGG
rnacentral:rRNA from 1 species